rnacentral:lncRNA from 1 species
UUCACACUCGUGUCAGUGCGCGUGCGCCUCGUCAUAACCUUAGCGAGACUCGUCCGCGAAACAGUAUUCAUGUAAUAAUUGUAGUUUGAAAAAUUACAAAUAUUUAAAAAUGUUAAAAAAUAUUUUGGCCGGUGCAUUGUAUGUACAAAAAUAGCUGAGAGAGAAAAGAAAGGCUGCGCAAAAGUGUAAAACCUACAAACUUUAAAAUUACAUAAAAUUUUUGAAAGAAAAGAUACUACAUAGUAGAUAGGUAUUUAAUUGCAGUGCAUUAAAACUCAAGACAUUGAACAAAUAUUUUUUUAUCACAGUACUAUAAGGAGAAUUAAUAAGUAUUAUUCAAUAUCUUUGAGAAAAAUAUUAAAUAUUUUAGCAGCUCCUUAAAAAUAGUGAAAAAGUUACCAAGAUUAACAACCCUUGAAAGAAAAAAAGAAGUUAACAAGCAUUUUGAUCCUUGGUGUCAAUACGUUAAGAUAAAGAAAGUCAAAGAAAAAAAUUAACUUCACAAAGAUGCAAGCAAUAAAAUGCUAAAUAAGACUAUCAGAUUAACAACCCUUGAAAGAAAAAAAGAAGUUAACGAGCAUUUUGAUCCUUGGUGCCAAUACGUCAUAAUAAAGAAAGUCAAAGAAAUAAAAACGCAUAAGAGAUGCAAGCAAUAAAAUGCUAAAUAAAAUUAUCAGAUUAACAACCCUUGAAAGAAAAAAAGAAGUUAACGAGCAUUUUGAUCCUUGGUGCCAAUACGUCAUAAUAAAGAAAGUAAAAGAAAUAAAAAGGCAUAAGAGAUGCAAGCAAUAAAAUGCCAAAUAAAAUUAUCAGAUUAACAACCCUUGAAAGAAAAAAAGAAGUUAACGACCAUUUUGAUCCUUGGUGCCAAUACGUCAUAAUAAAGAAAGUCAAAGAAAAAAAAAACGCAUAAGAGAUGCAAGCAAUAAAAUUAUCAGACUAACAACCCUUGAAAGAAAAAAAGAAGUUUACGAGCAUUUUGAUCCUUGAUGCCAAUAGGUCAAGAUAAAGAAAGUCAAAGAAAAACAAUAAACCUCACAAAGAUGCAAGCAAUAAAAUUCUGAAUAAAAUUAUCAGUUUACAACCCUUGAAAGAAAAAAAGAAGUUAACAAGAAUUUUGAUCCUCGGUGCCAAUAUGUCAAGAUAAACAAAAAAAACACACACACAAGAUGCAAGCAAUAUAAUGCAAAAUAAAAUAAUCGGAUUAACAACCGUCGAAAGAAAUAAAGAAGUUUACAAGCAUUUUGAUCCUUGGCGCCAAUACGUUUGGAUAAAGAAAGUCAAAGAGAAAAAUUAAACCUGUAAACAUCAAGAUCAGGCAAUUCAAAGAAAAAAAAAGGAAAACAAUUACUGUUGAAAUAUUUAUUGAUUUAUAGUAAUCUAUAAAAUGGUCAAACUUUACCAUGUUAAUACUAACAAUGAACUUAUGAAUUCCAAAUAUGUGCAGAUCAUAGGUGUCUAAGAUGCAAGCAAUAUAAUACUUAAUUAAAUUAGUAAAAUGCACAACCCUUGAAAGAAAAAAAGAAGUUAACAAACGUUUUAAUCCUUGAUAUUAUAUUAUUGUAUUGGUUCAUUGUAAUUCAUGGUUUUCUGUUUGCUUACUCGAAAUCCAAAUAAAAUAUAUCAAAGACUAUAAA